rnacentral:rRNA from 1 species
AGAGUAUGAUCAUGGCUCAGCCUGAACGCUGGCGGCGUGGCUAAGACGUGCAAGUCGAACGGGUGUAGCAGUACACCAGUGGCGAACGGGUGAGUAAUGUAUCGCUAACGUACCCCGGACUCCGGGAUAGCUGCUCGAAAGGGCAGGUAAUACCGGAUGACAUGGCCUGGUCGCAUGACCAGGCCCUCAAAGGUCCGCCGGUCUGGGAGCGGGCGAUAUCGUAUCAGCUAGUUGGUAGGGUAACGGCCUACCAAGGCGACGACGCGUAGCCGGGCUGAGAGGUCGGCCGGCCACAUUGGGACUGAGACACUGCCCAGACUCCUACGGGGGGCUGCAGUAACGAAUCUUCCGCAAUGCACGAAAGUGUGACGGAGCGACGCCGCGUGUGGGACGAAGUUCUUCGGAAUGUAAACCACUGUCAGGGGUUAGAAAGUUCUGAUCAACCCCAGAGGAAGGCACGGCUAACUCUGUGCCAGCAGCCGCGGUAAUACAGAGGUGCCAAGCGUUAGGCGGAAUCACUGGGCUUAAAGCGUGUGUAGGCGGACUUCUAAGUGCCUUGUGAAAUCCCACGGCUCAACCGUGGAACUGCUUGGUAUACUGGGAGUCUUGAGCCACCUAGAGGCGAGCGGAACAAAUGGUGGAGCGGUGAAAUGCGUAGAUAUCAUUUGGAACGCCAAUGGUGAAAACAGCUCGCUGGGGGUGCGCUGACGCUGAGACACGAAAGCUAGGGGAGCAAACGGGAUUAGAUACCCCGGUAGUCCUGGCCGUAAACGAUGUCGACUAGAUCGCAGUGCCUCUGACGGUAUUGCGGUCGAAGCAAAAGUGCUAAGUCGACCGCCUGGGAAGUACGGUCGCA